rnacentral:tRNA from 1 species
CAGGUAUGGUUCAAUGGUAGAACAACCGCUUCCCAAGCCGUAGACGCGGGUUCGAUUCCCGUUACCUG